rnacentral:tRNA from 10 species
CGGCACGUAGCGCAGCCUGGUAGCGCACCGUCAUGGGGUGUCGGGGGUCGGAGGUUCAAAUCCUCUCGUGCCG